AUUUAUUCUAACAAUGAUCUUGAUAAUCCCCCUGAUUCCCAGACUCCUUGGAAUAGCUCCACAGCUAUCAGUGGUUCUGCCACAGGUUCAGAGCCUUCCCAGUACUGCCUUCUUAUUUGAGAGGUGUGCUAAGAGCUAUAAAGCAGAGGCUUCAAUUGUACACAAUUUGGAAGUUUAGGCAAAAGUUAUUUCUUCCCUAUAUUUUGUCAUGCUUAUCUCCUGUCUCUUUCUGUUUUACAGAUUAGCAAUAAACUCCUUAAAACCCAAAGGUUUGGGCUUCUGUUCCUUUCACUUGCAGUCAGACAUGGAGUUAGUGGUAGAAGAAACAGAAGGGGUAACCUGCAUGGUGACAGCUACUGAGGGGAUGGAUAGGAAAGCAGGCUGAGUCCCUGGGGCCAGUGGUUACCAAAGCCAAGGAGAGAGCAAGGGGAGCCCAGUGGGCCUGGCCAUGGACUGCUCUGGAAUUCCGAGUGUGAACUUUCAGCCAAGAAGGAGCUUCUGUCUAGAUGAAUAGCAAGUGUGACACUGAUAAUAGUAAUCGAAUAUUCCUCCAAGUACAGGCUCCUUCCUCUUUCUCCUGGACCUUUGCACAUGCUGCCUGGAAAACUCACCCACAACCUACUUUCCAUCCUCUCCUUCGGCUCAUCCCUGCUCAGCCCUCUUUGUUGAGAUAUUUGCCGAGCCAGAUACUCUGAGAAGCCUUUCCUGGCAUCUUCGUCUAUAUAAUUCUGCUAGUUGUUUCUAAAACUAUGUUGUUAGUGUAUAUUGUAAUCACCUAUUUAUGUCUGUUUGACUGUGAGCCUCUUGGAGAUGGGAAUUCUCUCCUAUGCAUUGCGGUUUCCCCAGCCCCUAGCACACUGUCUAGCCCAGUAUUCCUUCUCAGUAAGUAGGUGUUGAAUGACUUACAAAAUGAAUGCUAAAAGACCUGGUAGACAAGAAGGAAUUUCUUAGCCUAAAUGACCAGAUGUGGAGAAGAUACUCAAACACUUCAGGGUCCCCAAUCUGGUGAUGUCACUUGCAGUGGAAUUUCAUAUGAAUCC
rnacentral:lncRNA from 1 species